AUUGAACGCUGGCGGAAUGCUUUACACAUGCAAGUCGAACGGCAGCACGGGGCAACCUGGUGGCGAGUGGCGAACGGGUGAGUAAUACAUCGGAACGUGCCCAAUCGUGGGGGAUAACGUAGCGAAAGCUACGCUAAUACCGCAUACGAUCUACGGAUGAAAGCGGGGGAUCGCAAGACCUCGCGCGAAUGGAGCGGCCGAUGGCAGAUUAGGUAGUUGGUGGGGUAAAGGCUCACCAAGCCUGCGAUCUGUAGCUGGUCUAAGAGGACGACCAGCCACACUGGAACUGAGACACGGUCCAGACUCCUACGGGAGGCAGCAGUGGGGAAUUUUGGACAAUGGGCGCAAGCCUGAUCCAGCCAUUCCGCGUGCAGGAUGAAGGCCCUCGGGUUGUAAACUGCUUUUGUACGGAACGAAAAGGCUUUCUCUAAUACAGGGGGCUCAUGACGGUACCGUAAGAAUAAGCACCGGCUAACUACGUGCC
rnacentral:rRNA from 1 species